CCUGCUCUAACGGGGUGCCGGCCGUUCUUUAUGAGAACGUUUGGCUGAGAGGCUUUUUCAAAGCCAACCCGAAGAACCUGAUCCGGUUUGUACCGGCGGAGGGAUUAGGCGGCACAUUCCA
rnacentral:ncRNA from 2 species